rnacentral:rRNA from 1 species
AUUGAACGCUGGCGGCAGGCCUAACGCAUGCAAGUCGAGCGGGGUUUUCGGACCUAGCGGCGGACGGGUGAGUAAUGCGUAGGAAGCUACCCGAUAGAGGGGGAUACCAGUUGGAAACGACUGUUAAUACCGCAUAAUGUCUACGGACCAAAGUGUGGGACCUUCGGGCCACAUGCUAUCGGAUGCGCCUACGUGGGAUUAGCUAGUUGGUGAGGUAAUGGCUCACCAAGGCGACGAUCUCUAGCUGGUUUGAGAGGAUGAUCAGCCACACUGGAACUGAGACACGGUCCAGACUCCUACGGGAGGCAGCAGUGGGGAAUAUUGGACAAUGGGCGAAAGCCUGAUCCAGCCAUGCCGCGUGUGUGAAGAAGGCCCUCGGGUUGUAAAGCACUUUCAGUAGGGAGGAAGCGUUGAGUGUUAAUAGUACUCAGCGUUGACGUUACCUACAGAAGAAGCACCGGCUAACUCUGUGCCAGCCGCCGCUGUAACAC